rnacentral:rRNA from 1 species
GUGGGGAAUCUUCCGCAAUGGACGAAAGUCUGACGGAGCAACGCCGCGUGAGUGAUGAAGGUCUUCGGAUUGUAAAGCUCUGUUAAUCGGGACGAAAGAGCCUAGUGUGAAUAAUGCUAGGAAGUGACGGUACCGGAAUAGAAAGCCACGGCUAACUACGUGCCAGCAGCCGCGGUAAUACGUAGGUGGCAAGCGUUGUCCGGAAUUAUUGGGCGUAAAGCGCGCGCAGGCGGAUCUGCCAGUCUGUCUUAAAAGUUCGGGGCUUAACCCCGUGAUGGGAUGGAAACUACAGAUCUAGAGUAUCGGAGAGGAAAGUGGAAUUCCUAGUGUAGUGGUGAAAUGCGUAGAUAUUAGGAAGAACACCAGUGGCGAAGGCGACUUUCUGGACGAAAACUGACGCUGAGGCGCGAAAGCCAGGGGAGCGAACGGGAUUAGAAACCCGUGUAGUCC